GCCCACGUGCUGGAAUUGGUAGACAGGCCAGCUUGAGGGGCUGGUGUCCUUCGGGGCGUGCAGGUUCGAGUCCUGUCGUGGGCA
rnacentral:tRNA from 1 species